rnacentral:rRNA from 1 species
UACGGAGGGUGCGAGCGUUGUCCGGAAUCACUGGGCGUAAAGGGCGCGUAGGCGGCUCAUGAAGGCUGUGGUGAAAGUCCGGGGCUCAACCUCGGAUCGGCCGUGGCGACUCGUGGGCUGGAGCACUGUAGAGGCGGGUGGAAUUCCGGGUGUGGCGGUGGAAUGCGUAGAGAUCCGGAAGAACACCAGUGGCGAAGGCGGCCCGCUGGGCAGUGGCUGACGCUGAGGCGCGACAGCGUGGGGAGCAAACAGG